UCUCUCUCUUCUCCCUCUCUCUUCAGUUAUUCUCCAUGCCUCAGGAGCAAGAAACCCUAGGGUUUCUUUCCGUCAGGUCCAUAGAAGGCAGAAAAAGUAGGGGAGGCGCUAGGGUUUUGAGCCCCUCCCCCUUUGUGCUGCCAACCAUAUUGCCUCUCCCUCUCUUGCAGCCGCCCAAACAUCAGGUCCAGGAUUUAAAAUCUCUUUCUACGAGGUUGGUACAAGUUUCUCUCAGAUUUGGAGUUGAUCUGAGGUCGUUUGAGGUGCGGGUGAGAUCUCCAUCAACAGAUCUACAGGAAAGGCUGCAGCAAGAUAGAUCUGCAAGGUCUGGUUCUAUCUACCUUCUCCCCUAUCUAGAAUACCCCGAUUCGAGAUCUAUGAAUUGAAAGACCUCGAUCUAGGCCUGAUCUGGUUGGGUACCAGAUCUUGGAUUUUUUAGAGAUGAUCUUAGAGGCAUUCUUCAUCUGGAACGAAAGGCUGACGAAGAAGACAGCAACCAGGCUGAUUUCGUCAAGGGCCUUUGAUCGAGUCCAGAAGUCUCCAGAUUUGUUCGUUG
rnacentral:lncRNA from 1 species